AUGAACGCUGGCGGCGUGCCUAAUACAUGCAAGUCGAGCGAACGGACGAGAAGCUUGCUUCUCUGAUGUUAGCGGCGGACGGGUGAGUAACACGUGGAUAACCUACCUAUAAGACUGGGAUAACUUCGGGAAACCGGAGCUAAUACCGGAUAAUAUUUUGAACCGCAUGGUUCAAAAGUGAAAGACGGUCUUGCUGUCACUUAUAGAUGGAUCCGCGCUGCAUUAGCUAGUUGGUAAGGUAACGGCUUACCAAGGCAACGAUGCAUAGCCGACCUGAGAGGGUGAUCGGCCACACUGGAACUGAGACACGGUCCAGACUCCUAAGGGAGGCAGCAGUAGGGAAUCUUCCGCAAUGGGCGAAAGCCUGACGGAGCAACGCCGCGUGAGUGAUGAAGGUCUUCGGAUCGUAAAACUCUGUUAUUAGGGAAGAACAGAUGUGUAAGUAACUGUGCACAUCUUGACGGUACCUAAUCAGAAAGCCACGGCUAACUACGUG
rnacentral:rRNA from 1 species